CUUCAUUAAUGCCUUCCUUUGGUCAGCAGCUCUAAUAUGUAUUUCUUAGGGAUCAAAAGAAUACACAGUCUCACAAACAUUAUGCAUAGAGGGAAGUUUAUUUUUUAUCUUUAUUUAUCUCUCUUUCUAAUGUUGCCUAGCAUUUCCCUGGCAGCACAAUGACCUAGUUUUUUGAGGAAUAGUUUACUAAGAUUUCUAGUCUCCUUUGGUGGACUACAAUUUGUUAGCUAGAAGUUACUCAUGCUAACCAAACGGUUUGUACUUUCUGCCUCUUUUAAAUGUAAUACUAUCCACGUUGAAGCUCAUAUUCUAGUUUUCAUUCCACCCACACAGCUAAGAUACUCCAGAAGUAAAAUUUUAAACAAUUUGGGCACCUAAGUACCUGAAAAAACUUAAUGUUAUGGGAAAACCUGAAUAUGUCACUUAUGUAAAACAUUUAUUGAAAUGUCAAAUAAAAUGAGUGUCAGUGCUUAAACCCUUCUACUUAGAAGAGCUUAUCAUUGAGAUGGUUUCUGGAAGUAAUGUCAUGAGAAACCAGCACAGUGCAAUGGGAAAAGCAAAACAAAACAAGGGAGAAGGUAGGAAAAGCUCAGUUCUACUCUUUACUCUCCUCUAAAAGGGUGACAAUCUUGGGCAAGUUACUAUACUUCCCUAGGCCUCAAUAUUUCACCUAUAAAAAGCUGAGAUAAUUAAUAUACGAUGCAAUGUUAUAUACUCCUACUACAAAUUGGAACAGCACCCUGACAUCUAACUCAUUAACAUUCCUACAACAAAAUGAGUAAAUAUUUACUUGAAAUAAAACAAAACAAAGGCUAUAAAUAGCCUCACUAGCCAAAGUCAGGUUUGUGCCUACCUUACAAAAAAUUUUGCUUUUAGAACUUUGGGGUUUUAGGACUGCAGAGAAGGAACUGUAGACCUACGUAAAAGUGUUUACUGUCAGAAAGUGAGUUUGCUAAUGCACAACAAAACAUUUUCUCCCAUUCCAAAGACUAAAGUUCUUAAAUAGCCUUUGACCUGACUCUAAUAAAAGUCUUUUAAAACUAAACAAUGUCAGAAAAACAAAAACAAAAAAACUAAACAAUGUCCACUAGUAAUAACUGUCCACACACAACUGCUAAUGAUUCAUCAUAUGUGACUUCUCUUUAUGUAAACUAACCCACUGCACUGGCCCCAGGAAGUUAAGUGAAUUAUACCAAGUCAACUCAAUCUUUAAUUUACAUUUAACCAAUUUUCCAAUAUGGAUUUUUUUUCCCCUCCACCCUCCAACCACAUUUGAAAUCUAUAUCAGUCCUUUAGUUUCCUGGUGGCUCAGCAGGGGUUAAGGAUCCAGUAUUGUCACUGCUGUGGCUCUGGUUACUCCUGUGGCCCAGGUUCAAUCCUGGACUGGGAACUUCCACAUGCUGUGGGCAUGGUCAAAAAAAAAAAAAAAAGUCUAGGUUGCUAAGAAAAAAUGCGUUGGAAAGACUAAAUCAACUCAGAUCUGCCCUGAUGUGGCAUGGGUCACUGCUGCAGCACAAGUUCACAAGUUCAGCACCCACCCCAACCCCUCAAAGUAAAAGUGAACAGAAAGCUCUUACCAUCAGUAGAGCAAAGAGCUUAUUGAAUUUUCUUUUUUUUCUUACACCUAAUUUCUAGGUGGCAUGUAACUAACCAUUAUCACUUUGUAGGCUUCUUUGGCUUUGAUUGAAAAAUGUUUUUCUUUUUCUUUUUUUUUUUUUUUGUCUUUUCCAGGGCCACACCUGCGGCAUAUAGAGGUUCCCAGGGUUGAGGUCUCAUCUGAGCUACAGCUGCCAGCCUACGCCACAACCACAGCAACGUGGGAUCCAAGCUGUGUCUGUGACCUACACCACAGGUCAUGGCAACACCGGAUCCUUAAUCCACUGAGCGAGGCCAGGGAUCGAACCUGCAACCUCCUGUCUCCUAGUCAGAUUCGUUAAGCACUGAGCCACAACGAGAACUCCUGUUGCUAAUUUUUUUUAAAAGAUGUUUUCUCCUCUCCACAGCCUGUGAGACUAUGCCAGUGACCAUCAGUUUUGUAUGGUCCUUUUGAACACUUAUUUUCUAAUAAAAUGGUUUUUAAGUCUUUAAGCUUCCAGUGGUUAUUUGCUUUUUAAAAUCUUUCCACUUUUCCUAACGUACAUACUUGAUUGCAGCUCAAUUUCUUAAAAGUGAAUCCUCAUGAUAGAUUUUAUUCCUCUCCCUGAAGAAUGCUGAAUUUAAUCAAGAUAAGAUUACUACUAAAUAGUGCUGACCUGCAGAAACCUUUGGCAAUUCUUAUUUGCUUUGUUCCUCAAAGCAAAAUCCAGGUUUUUUCUUCGCUUUGUGGGUUCUAAAAUUGCCAACUGUAUGAAGUAGUUUAUCUUACUCAAAACCACAUCUUCACAUUUGCUCUCUAUAAAAUAUUUAACCAAUCUAUGUAUAAGUAAAUAAACUCCACAUUAUUAUUAUCUGGCCUUAUUUUGCAGCUUCUCCAAUCUCCUUUAAUAUCUUCAACUUAGUCACAUUAUUUUGAUUAGGACUGUGACAUUUUUAUUUAAGCAAGGAUAUCAAUCCUUAUAAAAAUGUAAUCCCUUGCUGCCUGUAUCAUUCCUACAAAGUGCAGAUUCUAGCAGCACCACAUUUCAACGAUUAGUCUCUUCCCAUCAAGUAUCUGAGAUGUGGAUUAAAUCAUUAUAUCAUUAUUUUGCCUACCAAGAAAGAAGGGGGAAAAAUUAUACAAGGAUGACAGAAAUGGCACUCAUCAUGUUUAUGUAAUGUUUUUAAAUAAAUCUAAUGCUUCAGAUCACAGAUGCAGGUAAAAUAUAUUAUAGAUUGGUUGUUGGAGGAAAAUAUUCCUUCACUGUUAUACCACCUACCCCACCACCGUGACCUUGUUAAAAGUGAAUUUCCUUCUUAUAGAAAGGCUCCAUAAAAAAAAAAAAGAAUAUUACCAGACACUGCCCUACAUUUCCUCCUCUGUCAGACAGUGUUAUGGAACUCAUCUGAAAUCCACACUGCCAGGAUUUCUAGCUCUGCUAGGACUGGAAGGGCCUACUAAUACAAGCCACAGAAACAUUACUACUAAAAAACCAAUUUUCUCUAGCAAACUAAGCUAUGUUAAAGCAUUUUUACUAAUAAAACAAUACAACUUGGUCAGUUAAACUGAGAUCCUUUCAACUACUAAAGAAAAAACAACAACAACAUACAUUUGAAUUAACAGCCACUGGCUUUAAGUUCAGAGAAUCAGUAAUACAUUAAGUUAAGCAUAAGUAGUAAGAAUGUAUGACUUCAAGUCUGAUAUGCAGCAAAUCCUUACAAAGAAAAGCAGUGUGAAAUCUGCCUAGAUACUCAUCUAACAUUAGAGCCACAUCUGCCUAAAAGUAAUAGGUUUUUCUUAGCAUCGACCCCAAGUUCAUUAAGAACUUUUAUUUUUAAAGUUUUCAUAUCAAAAAGAUCACAUUUUUACAGAAUGGCAAAUAGGUCUUCUUGUGAACUGCAACAGAAUAAGCUAAUGGUAUAAACAACUAAAAAUGGAGUGUACCGGUACCUUGCACCUCUCAGCUAUGUCAUAGCAUACAGUAUAACAAACAGGCUAAGAACCUGAUGUCCAUAAGCUGUAUUCUACAUAACCUAAGGACAGAAAUAAGACAUUAUAACUCAUAUGUUAGAGGAAUUUUAGCUUCCAGCCAGUUACCACAACAGAAGCCUAACCAAAGGCUGUUUGAAGCUGUUUCCUAACAGCUUCAUGCAAAGAAAAAAGGGAGGAGGUUACAGGAAAAAUAAUGAAGUAGUAGAAGGGUUAGGAAAAGAGCAAUCUUGGAAAUUGUAAGAAAAUUUACAAAACACAAAUCAAACAGGAGAGCAUCAAGAGAUUUUAGGACAUCUUUAUCCUCAAGCUAAUGAAUUAGGUACUGAGACUUCCAGAAGAGAGCCAGCUAUGCAUUGAGAGGAAGUCAAAAUACCACGAACCUUAAAAUUCAAUUUUUAGGUUGGAAGCAAAGUGUAUAGUCCCUAAAAGGUUUUGUUUUUUUUUUCUCUUUUUAGGGCCACAUCUGUGGCACAUGGACAUUCCCAGGCUAGGGGUCAAAUCGGAGCUACAGCUGCCGGCCUACACCACAGCCACAGCAACAUCAGACCCAAGCUGUAUCUGCGGCCUACACCACAGCUUGUGGCAACGUCAGAUCCUUAACUCACUGAGCAGGGCCAGGGAUCAAACCCGAAUCCUCUUUUUAAAGAGCUACUCCAAACAAACUUGCUGAGGCCUCACUAGAAAGAGGGAAGGUUGUAGUAUUAGGCUUUUCCCUUUGAGGAAGAAGAAGUCUCAAGAGGCCUAACUCACCUAUUACUCCAGGCACCCUAGACCCAUUUAGCAGGAGAGCAAAUCCCACUUCUCAGGGAACUGGCUACAAGGCCUCCAGUUCUAGCCCUGGUGUCUAUCUUUCACACAUGACUGCAAUUUUCACCAUGACUGACUUCCAGGAAGGAGUGCCAGCCAGUGGAGCAGCAGAAGAAAAGAAUGUAUUUCCCCUCAAUGUCUGCUAGACUCUGGAACACGGCAGCCAUUGCCCCUGUCUCUCUGCUGGGCAGAAGAACAUUCAGCAAGCUCAGAGAAGUGCCUAACAACCCAGUAACACACUAGCACCAUAUUUAUCAAAGAUCUCUACUCUUAUUUAAAGCUGUAACCCUCCCACCUCCCCAUUUAUCCCUCCUCCACAAUCCUAAUCCCCCUACUCUGUUCUAUUUUUCUCCCACAUCAUUUAGCACACUCAGUACUAUAUAAUUAUUUAUUAUGCUUAUUUACAUUUCCUUUUGUUAAAACACAAGAUCUAUGAGGCUAGGAUUUUUUUUUUGUCUAUUUUGUUAGUUGACAGAUCUUAAGCAGCUAGGGUAGGACUUCACAUAUAGUAGGAAUCCAAUAAAUGUUUACGGAAUGAAAGAAGUAAAUAAGACAAACUAAAAAGACCUCCUGGAGGUCAACAAUACCCAGAGGGCCCAACGCUAUAUUCCUCUAACAGAAUCAGUCUACUUCCCAGAACUGACCUACCUCUGCCCCUCCCCCCAAAGGCUCCAGCAGCUAGAAUAUAUGGAACCACAGUACUGCUGCAGACACUAAAGGCGACAGAUGCUUGUCCUUGAGUCUGAAAGAUUUCUGAAGGCUUUCACACUCUGUGCCUUGUUCCUAGGUUAUUCAGUUUGGGGUAAAAUGUGUUGAAUGGAAGUCACCUUAACAUAAAAAGAGGUCUCAAAAAAAAAAAAAAAAUCACAAGUUUCUGUUUUCAAAUAUCAAAUUCCAAUUCAAUUCAGCAAGCCUUAAGCAUAAAGUUAUAUUCAAAGCACUAGGCUAGAAGUCAUGGGAAAAUAGGAAACAGGCCUCUUAU
ensembl:lncRNA